AAACCACGAUGAGGACACCUUUGCAGCUUCUUGAGCCUUUCCCAAGCUUCAUAAAAUGAUUCAUCAUCUUUUUGGUAAAAGCUAUCAGUUUAGUGUCUAAUCUU